CAAAGCCUUGACGCACUGAGUUCUCGUGAUUGACGCAAGCCCUGUUUCUAAAUUUAGCACCUGGCGGACGGAGGUAGUGUGAUAGCAGGCGGGCCCGUUUAGCGUUGUGAUUGUGAUCCAGCCAAGCCAAAUAUAGUCGUAGACAGGUAUUUUUAGCCGUAAAGCGCGUCCCCGUUUUCAUUCGGCUAAAGCGACCUGGGCCAUACAGUUUGAAAUGAGCCACUGCUCCAAAAUCAGCACACUCAGUGUUAACCUGCUAUUCAGUAGAGGGGGGGUAGUUUUACAGUCAGCUGAUUAUUGCUUGUCAUACACCAGACAGAGAAACAACUCUAGGAGCUGUCGAGUAAAUCCCACUGCCACAGGUUCACUUUCUACCCGGGGACAAGUUUGGAAAAGCGGGGAUUGAAAAGACCAUUGAUCCGAAGAUAAAUAACCUUCGGUUCGCCAAACAGAAACACACGACAGGGUAUCAGCUGCCUCGGCUGUGACCUCACCAUGGUGACGCGUAAUCCAGAUUAACCUGCUCUCUUAUUCCGCCAGACGUGGAAGUGAUUAGAGAUUAUGACCGUGUCCUUUUAAUAGAAUUGGACGUGUGAGUAAUCAACUGCGUCCACCAGCGUCGCGUGUCAGUUUUACAAACAAGAAAAAGGGAGAGCAAUUAAAGCUGGAUGAAGGGAUGUUGCCACAUACCAAGAUCUCACCAACCAACUUGUCAUGGUCACCAUGGUGAAGUCCUACUAAAAAUCGUCAUGACAACUCAAGCCAUCGACAGCCAUGUUUGACGUGUUGCUGAUGGAAUCUCGUGUUCGGUGUUCCACCAGGAAAAAGCCAGUCAUCAGGUCACAACAGUGACCGGACACCUGCCUUAGAGAGUGACGUCAGAUGGACGUCUUCCUCCAGCAGCUUUACUUUAUACACAGUAAGCUGGGGAAGCCCUCACACACACACGUAGACACCCACACACAUAGCCACACUCACUAAUCCAAUUAGGACAUUAGUUAGUAGCAGCCUGGCCUGGGCCACCUCGGACACGCUGAUCCACUUAUUACUGGAUGGAUGGGUUGGGCAAUCCCAGUGUUUCCCUGCUCUAAGGUGCUUAAAUGGUACCAUGACACCGCAUCAGGACGACACAUCAUACGCACACAAGGAUACCCUUUCUAUUUUUGUAGACUUACGCUCUGUCUGUCCAGUGAGUCAACAAAGAUGAGGAAGAAGCCAAGUAGUGACUUCCACUCAGUCAGCAGAGUUACAGAGAAAGAACCGGAAACCCAGAGCUUAGCCAGGGUAAGAGACUUUUCCCCUACGCACUCGGCUCUGUCUACACAAAACUCCUAAUCACCUGCCAGGAAUAGUCACGGACAUACAGUAUACACUCUGGAAAUUAUUAACAAGUAUGCAGAACAAUCAACGGAUGGAAGACCUUGGGGUGCUGCUUUCACUCACUAAACCAGCACUCAUUUUCCAUGCGCUGUGUGUGUUUUCGUGUUUUCUAAGAGCCUCUUCAUUAAACAACACAGCAGAAUGCAGCACACUCCAAACAAGGCCACAAGUCCAUACAGAGGCUCUUACCUACUCACUGUGUAGUGAGGCUCUGCACAGCGGUUAUAUUCUCUUUUAUUCUCGUCUGUACACACACAAACACACCCUGCAUACCGGCAGGGUGACUGAGUACAAUGGCCUAUCCUCUUUUCAUGUGAUGAACUUGCGCUGUAGAUGUUGAAGUCACGCACUCCCAUGCAUACACCACAUAAACGUACAAACAUUAAACCCACGCUGCAGGCAGAGAAGAGAUGCCACGGCUACAUUUUUAUGAACGAAAGCUCAUAAAAAGGCGACAAGAGUUAAAGAAAGUUAGUUGUGUUUUGUCAUGUGCCAUGUCAGGCCCUCCCUUAUGCUAAUGUACCAUUCAUCUGUGUCAUAGAGCGAUAAUGACUCUCAACACAGAGAGCCUUGCUGAAGUACUCCGAGAGUAAAACUGUGCUGUCCACUCACAGUCGGCCUCACCGUCUGUCGAUCUGUCUUUACGCCUCUGUGUUUCUAUGUUUCUCUUUCCCCAUUUCUGUUUGCAUGUCUGUCUCUGUUUCUACAGUUCCCUGUCUCUGUCUGUCUCUGUGUGUCUGCCUCUCUGUCUCCACGUUCUGCCCUCUUUGUUUCCCUGUUUUAUGUUUCUCUGUCUGUUUCCCUGUUUAUCUUUGUCUCUCUUGUCUGUCUUUGUCUCCAUUGCCCCGUUCUUGUCUGCUUGCUGUCUGUCUUCUACAAGCCAAAUUUAUUUUAUUAUCUCCAGCAGUCAGAUUGGACUUACAAAGAAAUUGAAACAACUUCACAAAUGUUUCA